UUUUUGAUGUUAAUUUAAAGUCUGGUCUGCCCACUGAUUAAAAAAUUAAAGGGCUGCAGUAUUUUGACUGUACAAAGGUAGCAUAAUCAUUAGUCUCUUAAUUGGUGACUUGUAUGAAAGAUUUGAUGAAAUAUAAACUGUCUCUUAUUAAUUUAUAAAACUUAAUUUUUUAGUAAAAAAGCUAAAAUAAAUUUAAAAGACGAGAAGACCCUAUAGAGUUUUAUAAUGAAUUUAAUUAUUAUUUUAUAUAAAAUUUUUAAUUAAAAUUAAAUUUAUUAUUUUAUUGGGGUGAUAGAAAAAUUAAAAUAACUUUUUUUAAAUAUAAACCAUUUAUAAAUGAAUAUAUGAUCCGUUAAUAACGAUUAUAAGAAUAAAUUACCUUAGGGAUAACAGCGUAAUUUUUUUUUUUAGUUCGUAUAAAAAAAAAAGUUUGCGACCUCGAUGUUGGAUUAAGAUAAAAUUUAAAUGCAAAAGUUUAAAAUUUUGAUCUGUUCGAUCAUUAAAAUCUUACAUG
rnacentral:rRNA from 1 species